AGGGCGUUCUUGGAGGCCAUGAUACAAAAAUCAAUUAAGGACAAAGUGUGAUCACUAAAUGUUAUCAAUCUAUGAAAUAGUUUCAAACCUGCACAUAAUUUUACCUACUUCAGCAAUUAAAUUCUACACUACUGAAUCAACUGCCCCAUUCGACCCAACCGACUCUAGUCAAUCAAACAGUAAGCUCCGAUCAAGUAUCUAUCAGGCUAUUCAAUUAUCCACUUCUGAAUCAACAGCCCUCAUCACCUUUAAUUCAUCAAACAGU